GGAAGCGUAAGGGGGCUGGUGUCCCUCCCGGGCUUCAAACCCGGUGCACCCCAAAAUAAAAGGGGUGGGUGGGUUCAAUUCCCACACGCUUCC
rnacentral:tRNA from 1 species